AGAAGGGAGCUUGCUCCCGGAUGUUAGCGGCGGACGGGUGAGUAACACGUGGGUAACCUGCCUGUAAGACUGGGAUAACUCCGGGAAACCGGAGCUAAUACCGGAUAGUUCCUUGAACCGCAUGGUUCAAGGAUGAAAGACGGUUUCGGCUGUCACUUACAGAUGGACCCGCGGCGCAUUAGCUAGUUGGUGGGGUAAUGGCUCACCAAGGCGACGAUGCGUAGCCGACCUGAGAGGGUGAUCGGCCACACUGGGACUGAGACACGGCCCAGACUCCUACGGGAGGCAGCAGUAGGGAAUCUUCCGCAAUGGACGAAAGUCUGACGGAGCAACGCCGCGUGAGUGAUGAAGGUUUUCGGAUCGUAAAGCUCUGUUGUUAGGGAAGAACAAGUGCGAGAGUAACUGCUCGCACCUUGACGGUACCUAACCAGAAAGCCACGGCUAACUACGUGCCAGCAGCCGCGGUAAUACGUAGGUGGCAAGCGUUGUCCGGAAUUAUUGGGCGUAAAGGGCUCGCAGGCGGUUUCUUAAGUCUGAUGUGAAAGCCCCCGGCUCAACCGGGGAGGGUCAUUGGAAACUGGGAAACUUGAGUGCAGAAGAGGAGAGUGGAAUUCCACGUGUAGCGGUGAAAUGCGUAGAGAUGUGGAGGAACACCAGUGGCGAAGGCGACUCUCUGGUCUGUAACUGACGCUGAGGAGCGAAAGCGUGGGGAGCGAACAGGAUUAGAUACCCUGGUAGUCCACGCCGUAAACGAUGAGUGCUAAGUGUUAGGGGGGUUUCCGCCCCCUUAGUGCUGCAGCUAACGCAUUAAGCACUCCGCCUGGGGAGUACGGUCGCAAGACUGAAACUCAAAGGAAUUGACGGGGGCCCGCACAAGCGGUGGAGCAUGUGGUUUAAUUCGAAGCAACGCGAAGAAACCUUACCAGUCUUGACAUCCUCUGACAACCCUAGAGAUAGGGCUUUCCCU
rnacentral:rRNA from 1 species